rnacentral:rRNA from 1 species
AUACGGAGGGUCCAAGCGUUGUCCGGAAUCACUGGGUGUAAAGGGUGCGCAGGCGGGCUUGUAAGUCAGAGGUGAAAUCCCCCGGCCUAACCGGGGAACUGCCUUUGAUACUGCAAGUCUUGAGUCUUGGAGAGGUUGCCAGAAUUCGUGGUGUAGCGGUGAAAUGCGUAGAUAUCACGAGGAAUACCUGAGGCGUAGGCGGGCAACUGGACAAGUACUGACGCUGAGGCACGAAAGCGUGGGGAGCGAACAGGAUUAGAAACCCCGGUAGUCC